rnacentral:rRNA from 1 species
CCUACGGGCGGCAGCAGUGAGGAAUAUUGGUCAAUGGGCUUACGCCUGAACCAGCCAAGUCGCGUGAGGGAAGACGGCCCUAUGGGUUGUAAACCUCGUUUGUCAGGGAGCAACGCCGGCUACGUGUAGCCGGACUGAGAGGACCUGAAGAAAAAGCAUCGGCGAACUCCGUGCCAGCAGCCGCGGUAAUACGGAGGAUGCGAGCGUGCUCAGGAUUGAUUGGGUUUAAAGGGUGCGGAGGCGGCAUGCCAAGUCAGCGGUAAAAUCGCGGGGCUCAACCUCGCGCCGCCGUUGAAACUGGCGUUCUUGAGUGGGCGAGAAGUAUGCGGCAUGCGUGGUGUAGCGGU